GAUGAAGAACGUAGCGAAAUGCGAUAAGUAAUGUGAAUUGCAGAAUUCAGUGAAUCAUCGAAUCUUUGAACGCACAUUGCGCCCGCCAGCAUUCUGGCGGGCAUGCCUGUUCGAGCGUCAUUUCAACCCUCGAGCCCCCCCGGGGGCCUCGGUGUUGGGGGACGGCACACCAGCCGCCCCCGAAAUGCAGUGGCGACCCCGCCGCAGCCUCCCCUGCGUAGUAGCACACACCUCGCACCGGAGCGCGGAGGCGGUCACGCCGUAAAACGCCCAACUUUCUUAGAGUUGACCUCGGAUCAGGGAGGAAUACCCGCUGAACUUAAGCAUAUCAAUAAGCGGAGGA
rnacentral:misc_RNA from 1 species